CACCCGCCGCGGUAAUACGUAGGGGGCGAGCUUUGUCCGGAAUUAUUGGGCGUAAAGCGCGCGCAGGCGGUCCCUUAAGUCUGAUGUGAAAGCCCACGGCUCAACCGUGGAGGGUCAUUGGAAACUGGGGGACUUGAGUGCAGAAGAGGAGAGCGGAAUUCCACGUGUAGCGGUGAAAUGCGUAGAGAUGUGGAGGAACACCAGUGGCGAAGGCGGCUCUCUGGUCUGUAACUGACGCUGAGGCGCGAAAGCGUGGGGAACAAACAGGAUUAGAUACCCUGGUAGUCCACGCCGUAAACGAUGAGUGCUAAGUGUUAGAGGGGUUAAACCCUUUAGUGCUGUAGCUAACGCGUUAAGCACUCCGCCUGGGGAGUACGGCCGCAAGGCUGAAACUUAAAGGAAUUGGCGGG
rnacentral:rRNA from 1 species